GUGGGGAAUAUUGGGCAAUGGGCGCAAGCCUGACCCAGCAACGCCGCGUGAAGGAAAAAGGCUUUCGGGUUGUAAACUUCUUUUAUGAGGGACGAAUAGAUGACGGUACCUCAUGAAUAAGCCACGGCUAACUACGUGCCAGCAGCCGCGGUAAUACGUAGGUGGCAAGCGUUAUCCGGAUUUACUGGGUGUAAAGGGCGUGUAGGCGGGACUGCAAGUCAGAUGUGAAAUUCCAGGGCUCAACCCUGGACCUGCAUUUGAAGCUGUGGUUCUUGAGUGAUGGAGAGGCAGGCGGAAUUCCCUGUGUAGCGGUGAAAUGCGUAGGUAUAGGGAGGAACACCAGUGGCGACGGCGGCCUGCUGGACAUUAACUGACGCUGAGGCGCGAAAGCUUGGGGAGCAAACAGGAUUAAAAACCCGAGUAGUCC
rnacentral:rRNA from 1 species